UACGUAGGGGGCGAGCGUUGUCCGGAGUUACUGGGCGUAAAGGGCGCGUAGGCGGUUCGUACAGUCAGACGUGAAAUUCCUGGGCUCAACCUGGGGGCUGCGUUUGAUACGUGCGGGCUUGAGUGCGGAAGAGGGUCGUGGAAUUCCCAGUGUAGAGGUGAAAUUCGUAGAUAUUGGGAAGAACACCGGUGGCGAAGGCGGCGACCUGGUCCGAUACUGACGCUGAGGCGCGAAAGCGUGGGGAGCAAACAGG
rnacentral:rRNA from 1 species